CUACGGGGCGCAGCAGUGGGGAAUAUUGCACAAUGGGCGCAAGCCUGAUGCAGCAACGCCGCGUGAGUGAAGAAGGUCUUCGGAUCGUAAAACUCUGUCCUAUGGGAAGAAAAAAAUGACGGUACCAUGGGAGGAAGCCCCGGCUAACUACGUGCCAGCAGCCGCGGUAAUACGUAGGGGGCAAGCGUUAUCCGGAAUCACUGGGCGUAAAGGGUGCGUAGGCGGCUUGUCAAGCCAGAGGUGAAAGGCAUUGGCUCAACCAAUGUAAGCCUUUGGAACUGACGAGCUUGAGUACAGGAGAGGUAAGUGGAAUUCCUAGUGUAGAGGUGAAAUUCGUAGAUAUUAGGAGGAACACCAGUGGCGAAGGCGACUUACUGGACUGUAACUGACGCUGAGGCGCGAAAGCGUGGGUAGCGAACAGGAUUAGAUACCCCCGUAGUC
rnacentral:rRNA from 1 species